GGAUGUGAGGGUGAUCUGGCUGUGAUCGCCAGGGUUGAUUCGGCUGAUCUGGCUGGCUAGGCAGGUGUCCCCUUGCUCCCUCACCACUCCGUAUGCAUUGCUCCCAAAGCUGCUAAGCGGGGGGACCACUUCUCAUAUUGUCUUCUGCUUAAUUUCUGCCUCAAAGGAAAGAGAAAGUAGGAGUUAAAGAAAAG
rnacentral:snRNA from 1 species